CGACAGUGAAGCUACUUGGACACGGGCGAACAGUGUUGGAUGAGCGCGGAACUAGUCUAGCCGCGUACCUAUCGGUCAAUCGUGUGAAAAGUGGUCGCGCAAAACUUCUUCGUAGUGUAAACGAAUUGACGGAGUCACCUCCGCGCGAGUGAUUGGGUUUAUUGACGCCCAGGGUGAAAGAAGGAGUGCAGAUACGCGUGAAGAGAAUUUCUGAUGCGACGGACGACAGAGCUUGUCGCACAAGAAGACAUGAAGCUAUCCCGGUCAGAGUGCUAUCCAAGUGAAUGAAUAUGAAGUCAUGAAUCACGUCGUCGUUUAUUGAUCUGUUGUGAGGCCCUAAAUUGACUAGCCGCCUUGUGCGGUGGUGGCCUAAGUGAGUCCGAUUACUGGAGAGCUGCUGUGUAAGAAAAUUGUCUUAAUUGACGGUGUGUGUCGUGUCGUUUGAAAUUCAAAGUCAAAGAGAAGGAAAUUUUCUCGGCUGAGACGACACCAGUCAGUGCAGUGUGUAAACAGGGCAAAAAUUAGCAUAAAAAGUCCAUAGGGAGUUA